CAGUAGCCGCGGUAAUACAGAGGGUGCGAGCGUUAAUCGGAUUUACUGGGCGUAAAGCGUGCGUAGGCGGCUAAUUGAGUCGGAUGUGAAAUCCCCGAGCUUAACUUGGGAAUUGCAUUCGAUACUGGUUAGCUAGAGUGUGGGAGAGGAUGGUAGAAUUCCAGGUGUAGCGGUGAAAUGCGUAGAGAUCUGGAGGAAUACCGAUGGCGAAGGCAGCCAUCUGGCCUAACACUGACGCUGAGGUACGACAGCGUGGGGAGCAAACAGGAUUAGAUACCCCUGUAGUCCCUGUCUCUUAUAC
rnacentral:rRNA from 1 species